rnacentral:lncRNA from 1 species
AAUCUACCUCUUAUCUCUAUUAUAUCUGCACAAAUGCUUCAUAUAACCAUUUUUAUAACUAAACAACUACCAGUCAGUUCUGAAAUCACAAACAUGUACAGUUCCCUCCAAUAGAAUUUUCCUUUGAUCAUUACAUAUAUAAAAGAUAAACAAUUGUCAUAAUUAGAAAAACAUCCUUGGACCAAGUUCCAGGUUUUUGUCCCUUCUAUUAAUCUAACUACCCUGUAUUCCCA